GUGAUCUCCCAGACAGUGAUUCAGACAACAUGGCCAGUCCAGCAAAGAUGAUGGCGUAGAAGCAUUGCUUCAAUACUAGUGGUCUUUGCUUCUUCCAGCACACUGACGCUUGUCCACCUGUCUUCCCAAGAGAUUUGCAGGAUUUUUUUUUAGUGUGACCUUUGUAGACAUACCAUGUUUUGCAGAUGUAUAGCAGGGUUGGGAGGACAAUAGCUUUAUAAACAAGCACCUUGGUGUCCCUACGGAUGUCCCGAUCAUCAAACACUCUCUGCUUCGUUCAGAAAAAUGCUGCAGAGCUUAGAAGGUGUUAUAUUUCAGUGUCAAUGUUGACUUUUGUGGAGAGGUGGCUGCCAAGGUAGUGGAAAUGGUCUACAUUUUCCAACAGUACACUAUUAAGCUGUAUUUCUGACCUUGCAGAGGGAUUAGCUGGUGACUGCUGGAAGAGCACUUUGGUUUUCUCAUUGUUUAAUGAGAGGCCAAGCUUCUCGUAUGCUUCUGCAAAGGUGUUUAGAGUGGCUUGUAGGUCUUCUUCUGAAUGCCCACAGACAUAUUGGAGUUCUAUAACAGAUGUUGUGGUGACCUUGGUUUUGGCUAUCAGACAGCUGAGGUUAAAAAGCUUGCCGUCUGUCCAAUAGAUGAUUUGCACUCCGGUGAGAAGCUUUUCAUCAACAAGAUGAAGUAUCAUAGCGAUGAAGAUGGAAAAUAAAGUUGGGGCAAUAACACAUCCCUGUUUGACAGCUGAUUCCACCUUGAAUUGGUCACUUUGGGGAACCAUUGUUUUCCCAGACUGUUACUAUCAUGUCAUCAUGGAAGAGCUGCAGGAUGUUCACAAAUGUAUCAAGUCAUCUGAUUUUCUGGAGGAUGGUCCAGAGAGCAUUGUGAUUCACUGUGUCAAAUACCUUUGCAAGGUCAAUGAAUGCCAUGUACAGAGGUUGAUUUUGUUCCCUGCAUUUUUCUUGGAGCUGCCGUGCAGUGAAGAUCAUGUUCACUAUUCCUCUGGAGGGGUGGAAGCCAUUCUGGAAUUACUAUCUCUAGGGCAUGUAGGUUUCUGGCAUGCCUACUCAGAAAAAAGCUGUCCUGGGCAUCUUUCUUCAUUAUUUGCAAAGCUGGAGUGAACAGAAAUAAUUAACGCUCACUGGGGAAGUGCUCCAUUAUGCUAACCAUUAGAUUCAUAAUUCCCUGAUCAUCAGUAGUGAAAAGAUUGGAAAGUAAGGUUAACAGUUUGCAUUCUAACUUCUGUCCUGUUAUUUAGAAAGCAACUAUCCUGUUCUCUACAUUCUUGUAAAACAAAUAAAUCAACCCCAUCAGUAAAUAUCUAUUCCUACGUGGCAUCUAGGCUUGUGUUUAAAGGUAGUUACUGUACAUAAUAGGUAAUAUCCAAUGAGAUUUUAAAUGAAAAUAUACAAUGUAUUUGCUCGCUUCUGUAUUUUCUUUGUUGCUGAUCCUACAUCCAAAAUAGGUUCAGUACUUUGGACAGCUUCUUUAAAGCUUGAAUUAAAACCUGGAAUGUAUUCACCACACAAGCAACAUGGAAGCCAUCAGCUGCCAUUGCCUGGAGCCUUAGAAGUUGAUUGCUUUGUCUAAGCCAAAUAAUUGAAAAUGUUUCCUAUUAUCAUAACAACUCUUUCGUUAGCAUACCAUAGCAGGUGUCAUGGACAAGGUGUUGUCUUAUUAACCUUUUAUAUUAAAUAAUAGGUAAAGGUAAAGGUUUCCCCUGACGUUAAGUCCAGUCAUGUCUGACUCUGGGGGUUGGUGCUCAUCUCCAUUUCUAAGCCGAAGAGACGGCAUUGUCCGUAGACACCUCCAAGGUCAUGUGGCCGGCAUGACUGCAUGGAGCGCCGUUAUUGAAGAAUAGACGUGCAGGAAUUGUCCCUCCCAGUCACAUUAGCUCUGUGAGACCCAAUUUCCUUACCCCUGAAUUUCCUUGGUGGCCCCCCAAAAUCUGCCAGUCCUUCAAAAAAUGUUAAAAUAUUCCCAAUCAAUUUUGGGUGUUGUUGUUUUGCCUGAUGAUGGAUCAAGAAAACUCCCAAAUAGCCACAAAUGUGGUGGUUCAUUUGUUUCACAAGUUCAGAUUCCUUCAACCAUCAAACAACUAAUUUUAUAGCAGCCCCAAAUUCACCAAAAUGUUGGUCAGAAGUUAUUACAGAUUGAUGAUGAUAAAUGGAAGCUCUCACGUAUGCCCACGAUCUAGUCACCCGCAGAACAAUAACAUGCCACUCAGGUUUGCAGAACAAAAAUACAGGAACUUUACUGAUUCCAAGAGAUCAAAAGAAAAACAGUAGUAUUUACAAUGGUCCCUCUGAUCACUUACAGAAGUCCACAAUCAUAAACAGUCCUUUCUCAGUCCACAAAUUUGCUUCAGAGAAGAAUACAGUCCUGGUUCUUCACCCUCUUUUCUCAGCAGCAAACAGGCCUCAAAAUAGCAAUGCCCCUCUCUGUCCAAACCGGUUCUGCAGCAGCAGAACAGAAACAGUAUCAAGUCAAUCUCCAGGUCUUUGCGGGCUUAGCCAAUUAGCUUCAUACACUUCAUUUUCCAAUUAACACACACAGCACAGUGCCUUUGCAAACAAUGACAGAAGUGACAUCAUAUCUGGUGCACCCGAAAUGUCAAAAUCCCCACAGUCUCAAAUUUUGUAGAUAGCA
ensembl:lncRNA